UACGUAGGGUGCGAGCGUUGUCCGGAAUUAUUGGGCGUAAAGAGCUCGUAGGCGGUGUGUCGCGUCGGCCGUGAAAACCUGCAGCUUAACUGUGGGCUUGCGGUCGAUACGGGCAUCACUGGAGUUCGGCAGGGGAGACUAGAAUUCCUGGUGUAGCGGUGAAAUGCGCAGAUAUCAGGAGGAACACCGGUGGCGAAGGCGGGUCUCUGGGCCGAUACUGACGCUGAGGAGCGAAAGCGUGGGGAGCGAACAGG
rnacentral:rRNA from 1 species